rnacentral:rRNA from 1 species
UUCCGGUUGAUCCUGCCGGACCUGACUGCUAUCGGAUUGAUACUAAGCCAUGCGAGUCAUUGUAGCAAUACAAGGCAUACGGCUCAGUAACGCGUAGUCAACCUAACCUAUGGACGGGAAUAACCUCGGGAAACUGAGAAUAAUGCCCGAUAGAACAUUAUACCUGGAAUGGUUUAUGUUCCAAAUGAUUUAUCGCCAUAGGAUGGGACUGCGGCCUAUCAGUUUGUUGGUGAGGUAAUGGCCCACCAAGACUAUUACAGGUACGGGCUCUGAGAGGAGUAGCCCGGAGAUGGGUACUGAGACACGGACCCAGGCCCUAUGGGGCGCAGCAGGCGAGAAAACUUUGCAAUGUGCGAAAGCACGACAAGGUUAAUCCGAGUGAUUUCUGCUAAAGAGAUCUUUUGUUAGUCCUAGAAACACUAACGAAUAAGGGGUGGGCAAGUUCUGGUGUCAGCCGCCGCGGUAAAACCAGCACCUCAAGUGGUCAGGAUGAUUAUUGGGCCUAAAGCAUCCGUAGCCGGCUCUGUAAGUUUUCGGUUAAAUCUGUACGCUCAACGUACAGGCUGCCGGGAAUACUGCAGAACUAGGGAGUGGGAGAGGUAGACGGUACUCGGUAGGAAGUGGUAAAAUGCUUUGAUCUAUCGAUGACCACCUGUGGCGAAGGCGGUCUACCAGAACACGUCCGACGGUGAGGGAUGAAAGCUGGGGGAGCAAACCGGAUUAGAUACCCGGGUAGUCCCAGCUGUAAACUAUGCAAACUCAGUGAUGCAUUGGCUUGUGGCCAAUGCAGUGCUGCAGGGAAGCCGUUAAGUUUGCCGCCUGGGAAGUACGUACGCAAGUAUGAAACUUAAAGGAAUUGGCGGGGGAGCACCACAAGGGGUGAAGCCUGCGGUUCAAUUGGAUUCAACGCCGGA